UACAGAGGUCUCAAGCGUUGUUCGGAUUCAUUGGGCGUAAAGCGCGCGUAGGCGGCUCGGAAAGUCGGUCGUGAAAUGCCGGGGCUCAACCCCGGGACUGCGUCCGAUACUUCCGAGCUGGAGGCAGGUAGGGGAGAUCGGAAUUCCUGGUGUAGCGGUGGAAUGCGCAGAUAUCAGGAGGAACACCGGUGGCGAAGGCGGGAUCUCUGG
rnacentral:rRNA from 1 species